UGUUAGGCAUUUACCUAACUGGAAAUGCUUAAAUGAAUUAGCGUUACAAGUGGGCUCUGACCGGUAAGCGGUCAUGGCGAAAUGGGAUGAACCAUACGUCUGAAUAAGGUGCCGAAAUGUACUAUCACUGAUACCAUAAAGGGAGUCCAUGUAUUUAGACAGCAGGUCGGUGCCCCUAAAAGCAGGUAUCCGCUAAAGAGUGUGUUAAAACUCACCUGCCGAAUACUAGGGCCCCGAAAAUGAAUGGCGCAUAUAGUACUACCGAUCUCAGACAUCAGUUCUAUUGAACUGAGAGUAGGGGGAUGUGGACAUUUUUGUGAAGGUGCAAUGUGAGUUGGACUGGAAGAAUGUCUAUUACAGAUCCUAAUUGAAGUAGCGAUUAUCCAGGCUUGUAUCCUGGGGGCUGAUGAGGAGUAGGGUUUCUGGACAACUUAAACAGAUCCAGAGUUAGUCGAUCCUAAUCUCAAUAAUGGGAGAAAGGGAGUACAGUUGAUAUUCUGUAACUGACAACAGUUCGCGGCAACGCAUACUAUUUUUCUCCGCCAAUCUUAUACCGUUGGUAGGGAUCUCUUUCCUACAUGACAGUACUAAUACCCAGGGAAACUGGUCAUCAGGCGAACUGCGGCGUUCUGCUGGCAAAACAUAGCUUCGGUUAUGUCAAUGGCUAUUGGAUUGGUCCAUGAAGCGAAAAAUAGUUUACUGUGUCACUCGUACCGAUAACCGCAUCAGGUCUUCUAGGUAAGUAGCCUAUGGCCAUUGAGGCAUGUUCCCUCCUUAAAAUCG
rnacentral:rRNA from 1 species